AUCCAGCUGACGAGUCUCGAAUAAGACGAGACGCGCGUCUUGUAU
rnacentral:hammerhead_ribozyme from 1 species